rnacentral:rRNA from 1 species
AACGUAGGAGACGAACGUUAUCCGGAGUUACUGGGCGUAAAGAGCGUGUAGGCGGCCAGGUAGGUCGGUUGUGAAAACUGGAGGCUCAACCUUCAGAGGUCGACCGAAACCAUCUGGCUAGAGUCCGGGAGAGGAGAGUGGAAUUCCUGGUGUAGCGGUGAAAUGCGCAGAUAUCAGGAGGAACACCAAUAGCGAAGGCAGCUCGCUGGGACGGUACUGACGCUAAGGUGCGAAAGCGUGGGGAGCGAACAGG